rnacentral:rRNA from 1 species
AUUGAACGCUGGCGGCAUGCUUUACACAUGCAAGUCGAACGGUAACAGGCCUUCGGGUGCUGACGAGUGGCGAACGGGUGAGUAAUGCAUCGGAACGUGCCCAGAGGUGGGGGAUAACGAAGCGAAAGCUGUGCUAAUACCGCAUGUGAUCUGAGGAUGAAAGCGGGGGACCAGGCAGCAAUGUUUGGCCUCGCGCCUUUGGAGCGGCCGAUGUCGGAUUAGGUAGUUGGUGGGGUAAAGGCCUACCAAGCCGACGAUCCGUAGCUGGUCUGAGAGGACGACCGGCCACACUGGGACUGAGACACGGCCCAGACUCCUACGGGAGGCAGCAGUGGGGAAUUUUGGACAAUGGGCGCAAGCCUGAUCCAGCAAUGCCGCGUGCGAGAAGACGGCCUUCGGGUUGUAAACCGCUUUUGUACGGAACGAAAAGCCUCUGGCUAAUACCUGGGGAUGAUGACGGUACCGUAAGAAUAAGCACCGGCUAACUACGUG